rnacentral:rRNA from 1 species
UCUGCUCAAUGAUUUUUUAAAUUGCUGUGGUAUUUUGACUAUACAAAGGUAUUGUAAUAAGACUUUAAUUGAGUGCUAAAAGAAUGGACUUUCAAGAAAUUACUUUCUUAAAUUUAAUAAUUGAAAUUAUUUUUAUUUGUGAAGAAACAAUAAUUUUAAUUAAGGACAAGAAGACCCUAUGAAUUUUAAUUUAAGCAAAUUUAUAAAUAAAUUUGUUUAAAUUUAAUUGGGGCGAUUUAAAAAUAUUUUUAACUUUACAAAGUAAAAAAAUGACCCAUUAGUAAUGAUAAUUUGGAAAAAAUACUCUAGGGAUAACAGCGUAAA